AGAUGUAAACUUCAUGAGAGCAGGAAAUGUGUCUGUGAAAUUUACUCUCCUAUGUCCAGUGUCUAUCAUGUGAGAUGGCAGGCUCUCAAUAAAUAUUUGGUGACUAAGUCCCCAGGCUCCUGGCCUCUGCCUUCUCUUUGUGGGAAUGCCGUUUUAAUUCUUUACCUGACUUCAGAACUUGAGAAGACCACCUUCAACCAGAAAAUCUUCUAUGGGAAUGUGCCAUUGCCGGCCAGGUGGCCUGCCUGUCUGGUGAGGAACCUGGUGGGUCCCAGACGCUCAGCGUGUUGCCCUUGCUCUUCAGCGCUGCCACUUGCCAACCUUGAGGUUCUUCUUUCAUCCAGAGAAGCCCUUUUAAUUUUCAUCACCCAAGGAAAACAGGCUGAAGAGAAAUGUGGGGAAUUAACAAAGAUUAAGGUGAGCCCCUGAGGGAUUCUUCGGAAAGCAAGACUCGGAUCAACACCGUGCUAUUAACACUCAGCCUACAGAGAGGCGGGCUAGCUUGACAUCGAGGGUGGAUGCGCCAGUGAUGGGCUUCCAGGCACCAAAGACAGGCCUUACUCCAAAUUCCACAAGCUAGUACCAACCUACCUAGACUAUGUACUGCAGGUUCUAGAGGGCAGAUGCUGCAUUUAGUUCAUAGUUGUAUCUCCAAUGCCUACGCCAUGCCUGGCACAUGGCAGGUGACGAGUAACUGUGUAUGGAGUGAAUAAAGCUCCACAGAAUCUUUCCAUUUCAAAGGUCACUGCCUCAUGUAUUUUUCAGCCUCCGGGGGGGACUGCAUCUCAACCACCACACCUGGCGCCUGUUGAGACUCUUGAACAGAUUUAAUGGCACCCACCUACGAAACAGGCAGAGAGGAAGCUACACCUCAUGUUUUUUGGUUUGUUUUGUUUUGUUUUUAAAUGUUUAGUUAUUUUUGAGAGAGACAGAGACAGAACAUGAGCAGGGGAGGGGCAGAGAGAGAGGGAGACACAGAAUCCGGAGCAGGCUCCAGGCUCCGAGCUGUCAGCACAGAGGCCAACACGGGGCUCAUACUCACGAACCGUGAGAUCAUGACCUGAGCCGAAGUCGGACGCUUAACCGACUAGGUCACCCAGGUGCCCCUCAUGGUUUUUUUUUUAACCUUUUUUACGUGACAAAUACACGGUGCCCCAGUCUUAGAGAUGAACGUGACCUCAAGAAUGUCCCAGCCGCAUGGGGGAACAGAUCUUGCCUUCAUAAUUGCCAUCCAGUGGAGGCCCAAGGAAGAGGGGACAGGCUCUGUUGUGGGGAUCUGCAUGGGGGAUGCUUGAGCCGCGUCUUGAAAACUGAACAGGCUUUUGAUGGGGAGCAAGGCUAUGGGGCCAGGAGAGAGCUGGGUGGUGGGACAAGGGCAUUUGAGGGGAGACAUGGCCACACAUACAGUGCUCACAACAGUUCUAGUCAAAGUGCAGAUCCACAGUGAGAUAAAGAACUCUCCCAGCACUGCCUCCUUCGGUGAGGAAGUCUUUCUGCAAACAAACUGCCCUCUGAUCUAAACCGUGUGUUUAGUGAGCACUGAUUUACAUUUUGGCACAAGCUCCUCCGUGGACUCAGCAACAGACAGUUUGUAGACGGGCAGCUGGUCUACCACCCAGAUCACUGCUUCCCAGUUUCCCCAGGGCCUUCAUACAAACUCAAGGGGUUUUUGGCCCUCAGAAAAAUCUUAUGAAGUCAGCAGGGCAAGUAUCUUAAUAUUCAUUUCACAGGAUGGAAAUUGAACCUCAGAGAGGUCAGGACUCAUGCCGGGGAGCAGGGAAGCAGUGAGGAUGGGAUGCGAAGCCUGGAGUCCCCCGGUUGUGUGGGAAAGCACCACUGACUCAUGACACGGCUCGUGGCCAGCAAGUCCCUAGGAACAGAUGUCAGAGAGGCUGGUAUAGGUGGGUCAUGUGUGUGACCUCACAUGGCAUUUCUUCUGUUCCUCUGGCUCAUAUUACUGUCGUAUCCUAAAUAGAGGCGAGAUGACUCUUCCUUUCCAUCCGCCCACCCUGGAGCCACCUCCCACCUGCCAUCCGAGGUGAGCUUCCCCCAGCUCAGCCCUCUGGCUGACAUUUCGCUACCUGGAAGGGGUUGGCAUUGGCCCCACAGGGGAAGAUUAUCUCAUAGGUACAGCAGGCAUCUACUCAAAAUAGGCUUAACUUUCUACCAGUGCCACUCUGGGGGCGUGUUGUUCUUACCCUGGCCAGGUGCGCCAUGGUGCCGUG